UACGAAGGGGGCUAGCGUUGCUCGGAAUCACUGGGCGUAAAGCGCACGUAGGCGGAUCUUUAAGUCAGGGGUGAAAUCCUGGAGCUCAACUCCAGAACUGCCUUCGAUACUGGCGACCUUGAGUCCGGGAGAGGUGAGUGGAACUCCGAGUGUAGAGGUGAAAUUCGUAGAUAUUCGGAAGAACACCAGUGGCGAAGGCGGCUCACUGGCCCGGUACUGACGCUGAGGUGCGAAAGCGUGGGGAGCAAACAGG
rnacentral:rRNA from 1 species